rnacentral:rRNA from 1 species
GGGAAGAGCCCAGCACCGAACCUCGCACCCUCGGGUGUCGCGGAAUGUGGUGUUUAGGAGGACCGUGCGCGCCUGUCCGGUAUCGUCCAAGUCUCCAUGAAUGGGGCCAGCAACCCAGAGAGGGUGUCAGGCCCGUGGGACGAGCCGCGACCGUAGCAUUGGGUCUCUCCUUAGAGUCGGGUUGCUUGAGAGUGCAGCCCUAAGCGGGAGGUAAACUCCUUCUAAGGCUAAAUACGGCCACGAGACCGAUAGCGAACAAGUACCGCGAGGGAAAGUUGAAAAGAACUUUGAAGAGAGAGUUCAAUAGUGCGUGAAACCGUUCAGGGGGUUAAACGGGUGGGCCCUCGAAGGUCGAAAGGUCCCCACUCCCGUCAUCUGUAGGCUGGCUCGUGCUGCUUCCGAUGCCGCUAGGCACGGAGCUCGGUGCGGUUUGCCGGUCUACGGGGGCCGCAAGUUGGGGACCCAGUAGGACUCCGCAACCGUCUGGGAGGCCGUCAGAAGGGUUCUGGUAGGAAGCCUCCUCGUGGGGUGGACUCCGGGAUUUCCGGGCGGUCCUCUCGGCCGUAAACCUGAAUUCUCCCGCCGGUGCUGGGGACGAGCCUUCACGGGCUGUCGGUUCUCGGUUUCCGUUUUGUGGGGGAAGCCGCGGAGAGUAGAGUCGGGUCCCACCCGACCCGUCUUGAAACACGGACCAAGGAGUCUAACAUGUGCGCGAGUCGUCGGGUUUUGCUAAACCCGAAGGCGCAAUGAAAGUGAAGACCGUCCUCGUUGGCGUGUCUAGGGGAGAUCCCGUCCUGCUCCGGUAGCUCGGGCGCAUCCCCGGGGCGUCGAAGCCGCGUUGCCGGCUAGACGCACCAAGAGCGUACACGUUGGGACCCGAAAGAUGGUGACCUAUGCCUGGCCAGGACGAAGCCAGGGGAAACCCUGGUGGAGGUCCGCAGCGAUUCUGACGUGCAAAUCGAUCGUCGGAGUUGGGUAUAGGGGCGAAAGACUAAUCGAACCAUCUAGUAGCUGGUUCCCCCCGAAGUUUCCCUCAGGAUAGCUGGUGCUCGCAGAAAGAACACGGAGUCUCAUCCGGUAAAGCGAAUGAUUAGAGGCCUUGGGGUCGAAACGACCUCAACCUAUUCUCAAACUUUCAAUGGGUGAGAAGCCCGGCCUGCCUGAGCGAGGCCGUGGCAACUGUGGAUCCGAGUGCCCAGUGGGCCAUUUUUGGUAAGCAGAACUGGCGCUGUGGGAUGAACCAAACGCCCGGUUAAGGCGCCUAAACGACGCACAUUUCGGAUCCCACGAAAAGGAGUUGGUUGCUAAAGACAGCAGGACGGUGGCCAUGGAGGUCGGAACCCGCUCAGGAGUGUGUAACAACUCACCUGCCGAAGCAACUAGCCCUUAAAAUGGGAGGCGCUAUAGCGUCGUGCCUAUACCGGGCCGCCGGUGGCAGAGCACGUCUCCCGUCACGGGAGUACGCUUAGGCCCCGGCGAGUAGGGGGGUCGCAGCGGUGCGCGCAGAAGGGUCUGGGCGUGAGCCUGCCUGGAGCCGCCGUUGGUGCAGAUCUUGGUGGUAGUAGCAAAUACUCCAGAGGGAUCCUGGAGGACUGACGCGGAGAAGGGUUUCAUGUGAACAGUGGUUGGACAUGAGUCAGUCGAUCCUAAGCCGCAGGUGAAAUCCGUCCCAGGGAACGGCGUGUUUCUUUUGUGUUGAACAAAAAAACCGAAAAGCGCCGCUGGGUAAGGCGAAAGGGAAUCCGGUUCUAAUUCCGGAACCCGGUCACGGAUCCGAUCGAGUGCCCGUCACUCGUCGCGGUAACGCGAAAAAGCCCGGAGAAGCUGUCCGGAGCCCCGGGAAGAGUUUUCUUUUCUGCAUGAGGGGCCGAAACCCUGGAAUUCUGUCGUGGAGCGAUAGGGUAUUGGCCCCGAAGAGCGCCGCAGUUCUGUGGCGUCCGUGGGUUCCGGCCGGUCCUUGAAAAUCCGGGUGAGGGCUACGCGAUUGUUUCGUACCGGCUCGUACCGAUAUCCGCAUCAGGUGUCCCAGGUGAACAGCCUCUAUUCGAUAGAUGA